GCUCCACGUGGUGGGAAGGCCCAGCCUGGGGCUCUCCUCUCCAAGCCCACCCUGGACUCCCACGGAAGCUCCACGGUAUCCUAGAGGUUGCCCACCACGCCUCCUCGCCCUUGGCCUCCAGAGAGCCUUUCAUCACCUGGCCAACACCUACUCUUCCUUCAGAGCUCAGCUCAAAGCCACUUCCUCCUGGAAGCCCCCCUUAUCCAUUCACAAUCCUGCAAGCGACCACCCUGUUCAUCCAGCCUCUUCCCCAACACCCUCCAUGCCCGGUGCUCAGCACACGGCCGGACCCUGGGAACUGGCCUCAAAGGGUCCCAGGUUUCACAAAUGAGGAAACGGAGGCUCAAAGAGGCUAAGGACUCCCCUGGAACAAUGUGGCCUCAAACGAGACAAGGUUACCAGCCCCGAGUGCGGGCAGGCAGCGGGCAGCCCCUGUGCUCGCCACGCCGGCCGUUCCCGCAGCUCCCGCAGGCCCGGUGCGGCCCAGCACCCAAGCGCCGGCAGCCUGCGCUUCCUGCAGGGAGCCUGGGCCGGCCCUGGGCCAUCUCCCCGGCCCCGGGACAGCAUGGCCAGGGGCCUGGGAGGGCUGGAGGAACCGCACUGCCCACCCGCUCACGUUACUGCUACCUCUUCCUCCGAGAAGCCACCUUUGCCUCGGAGCCUGGCUGUACCGCCGUACUGACCACCAACAUGCCAGGCCCGACCCCGUCAGCCCAACUGGGGCGAAGCUUCGCAAGAGACCGAGGGGAGACCACGGGCCCAGCCUGCCCUGUCCUCUGACUCCUCUAGACUUGGGGUGCUGGGGAAAGAGACCCCUCUCCCCAGCAAUCCCAAGUCAGGCGGCCCUGACCAGCGGCCGCUGAGGAAGGGGGUCAGCACGGGCGGGAGGUGGGGCAGUUACUUCCCCCCGCCCCCGAGCUUCAGGGUUCUCUGCAAGCAAGGGUUGUGGCCCCUGCCUCCAGAGAGCCUGCGGGAGAAGUGGAGCCUCUGUAAACAGCGCUGACCAGGGCCUGGCCUGACGAACCUCUCCCGAGUAUCAGUUCUCACCACAGCCCGCGAGGGCCAGAGGAAGAGCCAGGCUCAGAACGAAGCCGCAUCCAGCCAAGGUCAUCCAGUGGCUGGAGGAGCAAGCAAGGGUGCUUUAGGGAACCCAGCAGCAUGAGUAGAGGAGCCCCGGCCUCCCAGGAUGGCCCUGGGUGCCCCUUUCCCAGCAGCUCAACGGGCCUAUGUCCACCUGCUCCCAUACAAG